CCUACGGGGGGCAGCAGUGGGGAAUAUUGCGCAAUGGCCGGAAGCCUGACGCAGCGACGCCGCGUGAGGGAUGAAGGUCUUCGGAUCGUAAACCUCUGUCAGCAGGGAAGAACGGUCACUGUCCUAAUCAGCAGUGACUCGACGGUACCUGCAAAGGCAGCACCGGCUAACCCCGGGCCAGCAGCCGCGGUAAUACGGAGGGGGCGAGCGUUAAUCGGAAUUACUGGGCGUAAGGCGCUCGUAGGCGGUAUGUCAAGUCAAGGGUGAAAUCCCCGGGCUCAACGCGGGAACUGCCUUUGAAACUGGCAAGCUGGAGUGUGAGAGAGGCUAGUGGAAUUCCAGGUGUAGGAGUGAAAUGCGUAGAUAUCAGGAGGAACAUCAGUGGCGAAGGCGACUAGCUGGAACAUAACUGACGCUGAGGCGCGAAAGCGUGGGUAGCAAACAGGAUUAGAUACCCGAGUAGUC
rnacentral:rRNA from 1 species